UGUGGCCUCACAUAUCAAUAAGCGUGAGGAAAAGAAACCAACAGGGAUUGCCUCAGUAGCGGCGAGUGAAGCGGCAAGAGCUCAGAUUUGAAAUCGUGCUUUGCGGCACGAGUUGUAGAUUGCAGGUUGGAGUCUGUGUGGAAGGCGGUGUCCAAGUCCCUUGGAACAGGGCGCCCAGGAGGGUGAGAGCCCCGUGGGAUGCCGGCGGAAGCAGUGAGGCCCUUCUGACGAGUCGAGUUGUUUGGGAAUGCAGCUCCAAGCGGGUGGUAAAUUCCAUCUAAGGCUAAAUACUGGCGAGAGACCGAUAGCGAACAAGUACUGUGAAGGAAAGAUGAAAAGCACUUUGAAAAGAGAGUGAAACAGCACGUGAAAUUGUUGAAAGGGAAGGGUAUUGCGCCCGACAUGGGGAUUGCGCACCGCUGCCUCUCGUGGGCGGCGCUCUGGGCUUUCCCUGGGCCAGCAUCGGUUCUUGCUGCAGGAGAAGGGGUUCUGGAACGUGGCUCUUCGGAGUGUUAUAGCCAGGGCCAGAUGCUGCGUGCGGGGACCGAGGACUGCGGCCGUGUAGGUCACGGAUGCUGGCAGAACGGCGCAACACCGCCCGUCUUGAAACACGGACCAAAA
rnacentral:rRNA from 1 species